UGGUUCAGUGGUAGAACUCUCGCCUUCCAUGUGCGAGACCUGGGUUCAAUUCCCGG
rnacentral:tRNA from 1 species